rnacentral:rRNA from 1 species
UUUUUUAAUUCAACAUCGAGGUCGUAAUCUUUCUUGUAGAUAUGAACUCUCAAAGAAAAUUACGCUGUUAUCCCUAAAGUAACUUAAUCUUACAAUCUUUAUUAAAGGAUCAUUUAAUUACUCAUGACUAAUUAUCAUUUAAAUAUAAAAACAGUUACUUAUUAUAUUUUAAUCGGCCCAAUAAAAUAAAUUCCACCAAUAAAAAAUUUCAAUUAACUAAUAUUUUUUUUUAGUUUAGUUUAUAAAGUUUUAUAGGGUCUUAUCGUCACUUUAAUUUAUUUAAGCCUUUUUACUUAAAAGUUAAAUUCAAUAAAUUAAAUUAAGACAGUUUAUUUCUUGUGCAACCAUUCAUACAAGCCUCCAAUUAAGAGACUAAUGAUUAUGCUACCUUUGCACGGUCAAAAUACCGCGGCCCUUUAAAAUUCAGUGGGCAGGCCAGACU